GUCCGCAUCCAGCGGGGCGGAGGCAUCAUCGUGGUGCCGACGGUCGCCUCGAACGACGCGCCAACCAGCCGGCUUGCGAUCAUCUACACCGACGAUCACGUCCUGAAGGAAGNNNNNNNNNNNNNCGUCGAUACGUCGAUCAUCGCGCGUGCACCGCGUCGUUUUUUCGUUGCCGGUAUCGGCGAUGCGCUAUCGAAGAAAUUCGAGGCGGAGCAGUGUUUCAAUUCCGGCGGCAUGAAUUUCUACAAGGCUCGGCCUGCCGCGCUCGCAGUUUCAAUUGCCGA
rnacentral:misc_RNA from 1 species